AGAGUUUGAUCAUGGCUCAGAACGAACGCUGGCGGCAUGCCUAACACAUGCAAGUCGAACGAAGCCUUCGGGCUUAGUGGCGCACGGGUGCGUAACGCGUGGGAAUCUGCCCUUGGGUUCGGAAUAACAGUUAGAAAUGACUGCUAAUACCGGAUGAUGUCUUCGGACCAAAGAUUUAUCGCCCAAGGAUGAGCCCGCGUAGGAUUAGGUAGUUGGUGGGGUAAUGGCCCACCAAGCCGACGAUCCUUAGCUGGUCUGAGAGGAUGAUCAGCCACACUGGGACUGAGACACGGCCCAGACUCCUACGGGAGGCAGCAGUGGGGAAUAUUGGACAAUGGGCGAAAGCCUGAUCCAGCAAUGCCGCGUGAGUGAUGAAGGCCUUAGGGUUGUAAAGCUCUUUUACCAGGGAUGAUAAUGACAGUACCUGGAGAAUAAGCUCCGGCUAACUCCGUG
rnacentral:rRNA from 1 species